AAGAUGUUCCAAUUUAACAAGUUGUUGGGUACAAAAAGACUACCCCAUGGCCAUGGAAUUAAGAUGAGUGAAUAUAGAGUUAGUACUGAUAUGGAGUAAUUAAUACCAGUUGCCAGACCCAGUUGAGGCAUGCACUUAAUGAGCACUAAGGUAGGUAGGUAGGUAGGUAGGUACGUAGGUAGCAACUUGGAGCACCAUGAAAUCAUUUUUACAUUACUGUGAAAAUGAGUAUGAACUUGAAAUGAUUAUAAGCAUACUAAUUUUUCUUCUUCUAUCUGUAGGCUGCAGAAUUCGAUACAAAGAGCCAAAAUCAUUACUGGUUUAACCAGUUCGACCUGAAGGAGAAGAGAAUGAAAUCAUGGACUUGGAAUUUUAACAUUUAAGUUAUAGGGUUUGAGAUUUAGAGUUUAAGGUUUAUUCACCUUUCUUUUGUAUAUUGAUAAAUUUAUAUGGUUUAAACUGUUAAAUUUGGUUCUUAGACUUGGGAUUGGGAAAUAAAAUUAGAUAUGUUUUUCCUUUUUGCUUAUGUUCGUCUCAAACUUUCAAGUAUCAAGUGGCAGUGUAGUUUCCUUCACAUUUAAAGUAGAGUGGAAUGAAAAUAAAG
rnacentral:lncRNA from 1 species